rnacentral:rRNA from 1 species
GCCUAUACAUGCAGUCGAGCGAAUGGAUUAAGAGCUUGCUCUUAUGAAGUUAGCGGCGGACGGGUGAGUAACACGUGGGUAACCUGCCCAUAAGACUGGGAUAACUCCGGGAAACCGGGGCUAAUACCGGAUAACAUUUUGAACCGCAUGGUUCGAAAUUGAAAGGCGGCUUCGGCUGUCACUUAUGGAUGGACCCGCGUCGCAUUAGCUAGUUGGUGAGGUAACGGCUCACCAAGGCAACGAUGCGUAGCCGACCUGAGAGGGUGAUCGGCCACACUGGGACUGAGACACGGCCCAGACUCCUACGGGAGGCAGCAGUAGGGAAUCUUCCGCAAUGGACGAAAGUCUGACGGAGCAACGCCGCGUGAGUGAUGAAGGCUUUCGGGUCGUAAAACUCUGUUGUUAGGGAAGAACAAGUGCUAGUUGAAUAAGCUGGCACCUUGACKGUACCUAACCAGAAAGCCACGGCUAACUACGUGCCAGCAGCCGCGGUAAUACGUAGGUGGCAAGCGUUAUCCGGAAUUAUUGGGCGUAAAGCGCGCGCAGGUGGUUUCUUAAGUCUGAUGUGAAAGCCCACGGCUCAACCGUGGAGGGUCAUUGGAAACUGGGAGACUUGAGUGCAGAAGAGGAAAGUGGAUUCCAUGUGUAGCGGUGAAAUGCGUAGAGAUAUGGAGGACACCAGUGGCGAAGCGACUUUCUGGUCUGUAACUGACACUGAGGCGCGAAAGCGUGGGGAGCUAACAGGAUUAAAUACCCUGGUAGUCCCGCCGUAAACGAUGAGUGCUA